rnacentral:rRNA from 1 species
AUUGAACGCUGGCGGCAUGCUUUACACAUGCAAGUCGAACGGCAGCACGGGGGCAACCCUGGUGGCGAGUGGCGAACGGGUGAGUAAUACAUCGGAACGUGCCCAGUCGUGGGGGAUAACGUAGCGAAAGCUACGCUAAUACCGCAUACGAUCUACGGAUGAAAGCGGGGGAUCGCAAGACCUCGCGCGAUUGGAGCGGCCGAUGGCAGAUUAGGUAGUUGGUGGGGUAAAGGCUCACCAAGCCGACGAUCUGUAGCUGGUCUGAGAGGACGACCAGCCACACUGGGACUGAGACACGGCCCAGACUCCUACGGGAGGCAGCAGUAGGGAAUUUUGGACAAUGGGCGCAAGCCUGAUCCAGCCAUUCCGCGUGCAGGAUGAAGGCC